UAUGGCGGUCUACACGUGACAGUACGAGCGGUUACAGUACAGUAGCUUGCUACUCUUGCUGGACGAGCGGCGGAACGGGUUUAUUCAAUGUCUUGGGGAAUAUGUCCUUUUGGCUGGGGGACAACAGUUGGAAACGACUGCUAAUACCUGUCGAUAAUGUCUACGGGACCAAGAGGGGGGUGACCUUCGUGUGCCUCACGCCAAAGAGAUUAGCCCGAGUGGGAUUAGCUAGUUGGAAGGUUUUGGCUUACCAAGGACAACUAACCCUAGCUGGUUUGAGAGGAUGAUCAGCCACACUGGGACUGAGACACGGCCCAGACUCCUACGGGAGGCAGCAGUGGGGAAUAUUGCACAAUGGGCGCAAGCCUGAUGCAGCCAUGCCGCGUGUGUGAAGAAGGCCUUCGGGUUGUAAAGCACUUUCAGUAAGGAGGAAAGGGUAGUCUUUAAUAGAGGCUAUCUGUGACGUUACUUACAGAAGAAGCACCGGCUAACUCCGUGCCAGCAGCCGCGGUAAUACGGAGGGUGCGAGCGUUAAUCGGAAUUACUGGGCGUAAAGCGUACGCAGCGGUUUGUUAAGCGAGAUGUGAAAGCCCCGGGCUCAACCUGGGA
rnacentral:rRNA from 1 species